AUACGGAGGGAGCAAGCGUUAUUCGGAAUCACUGGGCGUAAAGGACGCGUAGGCGGGUUUGUAAGUCAGGUGUGAAAUCCUACAGCUCAACUGUAGAACUGCACUUGAAACUACAGACCUAGAGUAUGGAAGGGGCAGAUGGAAUUAGUGGUGUAGGGGUAAAAUCCGUAGAUAUCACUAGGAAUACCGAAAGCGAAGGCGAUCUGCUGGGACAUUACUGACGCUGAGGCAUGAAAGCGUGGGGAGCAAACAGGAUUAGAAACCCCAGUAGUCC
rnacentral:rRNA from 1 species